AGUGAACGCUGGCGGUAGGCCUAACACAUGCAAGUCGAACGGCAGCACAGGAGAGCUUGCUCUCUGGGUGGCGAGUGGCGGACGGGUGAGGAAUACAUCGGAAUCUACUUUUUCGUGGGGGACAACGUAGGGAAACUUACGCUAAUACCGCAUACGACCUACGGGUGAAAGCAGGGGACCUUCGGGCCUUGCGCGAUUGACUGAGCCGAUGUAGGAUUAGCUAGUUGGCGGGGUCAGGGCCCACCAAGGCGACGAUCCGUAGCAGGUCUGAGAGGAUGAUCAGCCACACUGGAACUGAGACACGGUCCAGACUCGUACGGGAGGCAGCAGUGGGGAAUAUUGGACAAUGGGCGCAAGCCUGAUCCAGCCAUACCGCGUGGGUGAAGAAGGCCUUCGGGUUGUAAAGCCCUUUUGUUGGGAAAGAAAUCCAGCUGGCUAAUACCCGGUUGGGAUGACGGUACCCAAAGAAUAAGCACCGGCUAACUUCGUGCCAGCAGCCGCGGUAA
rnacentral:rRNA from 1 species